CCUACGGGUGGCUGCAGUGGGGAAUAUUGCACAAUGGGCGCAAGCCUGAUGCAGCCAUGCCGCGUGUGUGAAGAAGGCCUUCGGGUUGUAAAGCACUUUCAGCGGGGAGGAAGGCGGUGAGGUUAAUAACCUCAUCGAUUGACGUUACCCGCAGAAGAAGCACCGGCUAACUCCGUGCCAGCAGCCGCGGUAAUACGGAGGGUGCAAGCGUUAAUCGGAAUUACUGGGCGUAAAGCGCACGCAGGCGGUCUGUCAAGUCGGAUGUGAAAUCCCCGGGCUCAACCUGGGAACUGCAUUCGAAACCGGCAGGCUAGAGUCUUGUAGAGGGGGGUAGAAUUCCAGGUGUAGCGGUGAAAUGCGUAGAGAUCUGGAGGAAUACCGGUGGCGAAGGCGGCCCCCUGGACAAAGACUGACGCUCAGGUGCGAAAGCGUGGGGAGCAAACAGGAUUAGAUACCCCAGUAGUC
rnacentral:rRNA from 1 species